ensembl:lncRNA
CUCAAGAUGAGAAAUGUGUGGCAGGUGUGUUUAAAAAGUGGAGGAAUCAGCACUGAGAUUCUCAGAUGGAAUUUUAUUAAAAGGACAGACAAGCAUUACUGGUCUGGUGCUACUCCGUGCUGCUGCUGCUGUUUAGACACUCAGUCGUGUUCGGCUCUGUGUGACCCCAUGGACUGCAGCUCGCCAGGCUCCUCCGUCCGUGGAAUUCUCCAGGCAAGAAUACUGGAGUGGGUUGCCAUCUCCUCCUCCAGGGAAUCUUCCCGACCCAGGGAUUGAACCUGGGUCUCCUACAUUGCAGGCAGACUCUUUACCCCUGCGCCACUAGGGAUGCCCCUCUGGUGAUACUCAGUAGUUACUUUAAAAUAAGAGCAAACAGCAUGGCUAAAUGUGUUGCCUAAAAAUUGUGUUACAAAGCCUGUAAAGAACCUGUCUGGUUAAAGCCUUCCCCCCCGCCCCCCCAGGGAAAUAAAUGGUUUAGGGUCCAUACAGUUUUCUAAUAGUUCAGUUUACUUCAUGAAAUUCCUUAAACUCAGGAUAGGUUUUGCUAUUUUGCUCCCCAUCUGAAUUCUUUGUCAGGAAGGGGUAUUUUAUCGCAUAUGUGGAAUGUCAGCUUAUUUAAAAACAAGGUCGUGGCAAAUAUUAUACAAAUUAUAUUAAAGUUUUGAAACAAAAGUUAGGGUUAGGGUUAGGACUCAUGAUAUCACCAUCCCAGUAAAUUUAUUUCCGUUUUUAUGUGUUAUCUUCCAAGUAUUAACCGUGUGCAUGCUUCUUCUUGCUUUGGCGUUCAGUUGUGUCCGACCUUUGCAACCCCUUGAACUGUAGCUCACCUGCUCCUGUGUCCUCCAAGUGUUUUGUAUGUACCACUUUGUAAUCUGCAAUUUCAUUUAGGAUACCUGUAAUGGAUGUGGCUAAAUUAUUUGAGAAUUUUCAAAUCAUGUAAGAAAAACAAAUGGGAUUUUUGAAACUUAUGUGUUAAGCAUACAUUGCAAUGUAGGUAAGCGUGUAGCUUAUGAGACAGGCAAAACUCAGUGGAUAUAUUAGGCAUACAGAGAACGAGGAAGUAAGGGGCUUGUGAGGCUUUGGCAGAAUUCAGAAACUAUGUUGCAUAUAGGUAGUAAGC